rnacentral:lncRNA from 1 species
AUGACUUCGAAGCUCAAACAGGAAGCAUGGCCUCUCCAACGCCAGAAGAAAGCAGCAAAAGGCAUCCCUGAGGGAAAAAAGUGGCUCCUCAUCUAUCAGCAGAAUUGCGUCAUAUUGGCUUCAGAAGAAAAUAACAUCAAAAAAGUGCCUUGUUGGCAAAUAGCAACACAGGGUAUGAAUUACAAAUGCAUCUCCACGAAGAACAGUUGCUGGAAGGCAUGUGGAAGCGAGAUGCACAGGAGCCAUAGACAUAGCAAUUGUCCACCCCAAGCCAGACGACUCAUCAGUCUCUGUAAAUGGAUCCAGCUGACUGGGCAGAGUCAGCAUCCUUGCUGGCCACAUCCUUGCACAAGAUGUCCAGGCUCCAGGUCCUUUGGGAUUCUGACAUGAGGAAGAGGCCAUUAUGACAAACUGAAUACUGAGUUUCUGAAAGACCCAAGCCAUUGCCUCCUUUCCAAAAGGGAAACUGACAUUUUGAAAGCUGGCUUUUCAAAUAACCAAUCUCCCUUUCACUGACAAGCUGUCAAUGGGGGAAGAAGACAAAAACAAAACCAACAACAGAAGUGUGCUGCAAUGAGCUGUUACAUAAGGAAAGCAAAAGCAUGAUGAAAAUCAAAUCUCUGAGAGGUAGCACUAAAACAUGUAACAUGUGUUUUCUUGUGUUCAGUUCUGCUUUAGGAAAAAAGAACAAGAGCCUAUGUGCACUGCAAAGCAGAACAGAAGGAAGAUUUAAAAUAUAAAUAAAACUUUUUUCUUUCUUUUUUAGAAAGAAUCCUGCAGACAUGAAAAGCCAAAUUCAUAGCCAAUAGGCACAGGACUGCAGAGACAAGCCUUUGCCAAGUGCACUUUGUAAGAUUUAUACAGAAUAAUCCCAACAUUUUUUCCUCUGAUUUUUUUUUAAUUAAGGAGGAGGUGUUGUAUUCUAAAGAAGCUGUAUGGAUGCUACUGGCUGAAAUAGAGGUUUGAUCUUCUCUUGCUGGUUAGCUAACAUUGAUUUUCUGCCCCAGUGAAAAAGAUUUUACUCUGAUGCAUGCCAUUAAACUCAUUUUACACAGCUGCUUAAUGUGGCUUGGCAAGGCACAGCCAGGCUAGUUUUGUGGGUCUAAACAGCACUCCUGAGUUGGUAAAGGACAGAGCCUGUGGAUCAGUAGCUGAUGAUGAAUGCCUUUCUUCCCCACUGUUGCGUCCUAGUGACUCACUCAGACUGACCUUGAAGGUGCCAAGAGAAAGUACAAAGGAAGACAAGAAAAUUUCCCAAGAAUUAGUAUCUUUACUUCAUUCUGUAGUGGUUAUUUCACCUUGAGGAUUACAUUUGAAGAAUUCUGUACUUGUUGGUCCAUGUUAAGGACCAUGUUUACAGAAUUUAGAACUCUAAAAUACAAAGUGUUCAAUUGCUUUUGCAGGCUAAAUGUAUACUGAAUAUAAAACUAUUAGAAAGCUUUCUGUGUCAGGGCUGGGGAUUUAGCUCAGCGGCAAAGCACCUGCCUGGCAAGCGCAAAAGAUUGGGCCAGAUGCAUGACUCUUGAGACUAUGUCAUGCAUGCGUGAGUUCGGUUCCUGGUACCGGAGAAAACCUCCUCCCCCCAAAAAAAAAAAAAAAAGAAAGCUUUCUGUGUCAUGCAUCCAUAAAAAUAGUAAAAGCAUAGUUCUCUAAAGUUACUGUUUAAACAAAGUUAAUUGACAUGUCUCUUUUUUUGACCAAGGGUGAGGGAUGUCUCUACCAAAAGUACCAAUCACAAUUAAGUCUGUAUAUGACAAUGUCAUCAUUAAUAUACAGUAAAUGAUGUCAGUAAAUUGUUCAAUAACAGUAUGCUUUAAGAGUACUUAUUAACUUCAAAAUGGUGACAGAAUCUGGUGUUACAUCAUUUUGUAGCAAAGAGGAGAGAUAACUUUUUGCUGCUUAUGUAAUUCCUGUAUUGAAAUUAGUAUGCCUAUAUUGAAAUGACCACAUCAUGUUUAGGUGGAAAAUUCUGUGGAAUAUUUUUUUGUACUUUAUUAGUCAUUUUGAUAUAUUAAUACUCAUUGGAAGGAAAUAACAGAACUCUGUUGCAGCUGUUGGCUGAGCAAUGUCAUUUUGAACCCUCUCCUACACCCAAGCGAGCAGCCCAGAUUAUCCGACUGCAUGAGUCUCAUGUCACACACAUGCCAUGCUGCUCUGGGUACAGGUAGGUGUGACUGCAUCUUAGUGUGGUGGCAGGAAUGAUCAUCAAAUAGUCAUGACAGAAGUGCUACACAGCACAGAUUCCUAAACAAAACAACAACAGUAAAGGAGAAAAGGGUGCUGGAGUAGAUAAUUCCAUUGCUUUUAUGGAGACAGAAUUUACUGUUUUCCCUCUCAGGCAUGAAGAAAAACAGCCAUGCCAAAAGUCAUGCGGAGAGAACCUAGAAGGUGGCGUGUGAUUUUCCACCAAACUGCCACAGAACUGUUAAGAAAAUAAUUAAAAGAGUGCUCAUUUCAGCAGCACGUAUACUAAAACUGGAAAAAAAGAAACACAACAAACAAAAAUAGAAGGACACGCCCCUCUAAGAUAGAUUUCCUGUGAGGCAUUCUGAAUCCUUGGAUUGGGUGUUGCUUCUACAGCCA